CUUAACCGAAUGAGCUACACAGGUGCCCCUAGAUUUUCAUAUUCUUAAGUAGUUUUGAGAUGCCCUGAUAUACUUUUCUUCUUUGGGAAAAAUUUAUUUUAACACUCAUCCAAAUGUGCCCUCCUAGUAGGUGGUCAUGAAAGGAAGACUCUUAAAAAAAAAAAAAAGACUCUUCAUUGCUUCUUAUCUAGAAAGGAUAGGUUUGAUCUAUAUUAGACCCUAGUUAGAACCAAAUCUGCUCGUUAUCUAGAUGCUGUCUAAUGAGAUUUUAUUUUUCUGCCAGUCAGCUUCACAGCAUGUCUAAGUCCGAGAAAUUUGAAAAAUAUUAUACUUCUCUAGAUUCCUCUUCCAGAGAAAGGAACUUGGCUGAAGAGCUUAUACCCAGGAGUGUGGCUGGAUAAUGCGUUGUUUGGGAGCAAAAGUAAUAAUGAAACUACUAAAUCAGAUUUCCAAAUCCCAACACACAGAUUUAGGCACGUAAUAUUGAAAAUUGUGGACAAUAAAAAAAUAAAAUAAGGCAAAAUAAAAAUUCCAGCAUUUUCUCCUAUCUCUCAGAUGAGAAAGUCAACUUCUUUCUAUGUUACUAAAUGGACUUGUGUCCCCCCAGAAAUGGUUAAUGUGCCUUCUAAACCCAGUAUCUAGAUGCCCACUGGCCCACAUAGAACACAGGAUGGAUAACAAGAUUGAGCAUCUCAGCUGUCUUUUAUGAGAAAAUGCCAGUUAAGAGAAAACUUUUCAAAAGAAACAGUAUGACAAGAAGGGAGAGUAAUAGAAUACUGUCUUUCUUCAGAGGAAAACUAUUUCUCUUAUCAGACUCCUUCCACUUAAGGUAAGCCUUGUGUGGAGGAGGCCAGAGGAAAAAGUGUGGGCACAUUUAGGGAACUAGGACACCUUUCAAAAAACAGUUUUCCUUUCUUUAUAGGUAAAUAAAUUAUGGUGGUUAAGCCCCUGCUAUUUAGAGUCAGAUUACCAGGGUUCAAGCUCUUGCUUAGCAGUUAUAGGGCUAUGGGUAUGAUCAUUCAUUCAUUCAUUUAUUCAUUUAUUCUGAGCACUUUCUCUGUGCCAGUUACUAGAGGUUAUAGGUUUGAACAAGACAGACAAGAUCCCUGCUCUCCUGGAGCUGACGUUCUAGUGAGGGGAGACAGAAAAUAAAUAAACAUGCAUGCAAAAGAAGUCAGAGAAUUUUAGGUCAGGAUGAAAGAAGAAAAUCAUACAGAGGAUCAUCGGCAGGGGGAGCAGGGGCUACGUUAAGUUAAUAUGCACGCUGAGGUGGCGACCUGAAUAGUGUGAAGUACCCAGAUCAGAGGAACAGCUUUUCAGGCAGAGGGAACAGCAAAUGCAGAAGAUGCAUUCUGAUGAGCCUUGCAGGCAGGUGGGGACUGGUUUUGACUUUAUCCGAUAAACUGGCGAGUCCUUGAAGGACUUUAAACAGGGGAAUGAUAUACUCUGAGCUGCCCUGGUGAAAGAGACCUCACGUCCUCACCCAUGCUUCAGGGAUAACACAGGAGGAACACCAGACCAAACUCGUUCCAGAUAAUGGGGGAAUUCACGGGACGCUGCUCCACAUGAGGUCAGAAUUUAAGGCGGAUUGCCCAGUAUGGAGGCUGUGGUUCCUGAUGGUAGUGGUAGAAUGAGGGCGGAAAGUCAGGACUUCAUAGUAAGCUGAUUAACGAAGAAAGGACAAAUCUUCCACAGGCCGGUUGGUGUGGCUGAUUCUGCCGGUAUUCAUGUUUAGUGCUUAUGGGAGUGAAUCAGCAGCUUUCAGGAGAGACUCUUUCCACUGGGAGGAAAUUGAGGCGCAGAAGGGGAAGUGACUACUCAGUCAGCGAGAGGCAGAGCUGGGAUUCAGACUCAGUGAAAAGUGUGGCCAAUCACUGUAACUGGAAUAAAUCAAGAUUAUAAACGGUCUUGUCACAUGAGGUCCAGUUCUGCUUUCUGAAGAGCAGGUAUGGAGCGUCUGGUAAGUGACCCAUGCGGGCGGGGUACUCCAUGACCCUCACCGUUCAUUCUUGUCAUGUCCCUGAUUUUCAAGGUCAUCCAUUUCCUUUUCACUGCACCCCUGCCACAGGUCCUUAUAUUUCUCUGUGUUUUGUUUGUGUGUUUAUAUGUGUGUUUAAGGGGAUUUUGAGGCACUGAAAGGCUAAAUAGUUUGUGUGAGACUUGACAGCUAGAAAGUAGCCUAGGAGGGUUGCAACUUCAGAGUCUGCACUCAACCACUGCCUAACACUACUGUCCUCUAGAGGAAAGACAGCAAAGCAGGCAGUGAAAACUACUGGGGCUGUGUCUACACAAGCAAAGGCAACUGGAGAAAAGCAGGCAAUAAUCCAGAUAAUUGAGAAUAUAGCAAAUUUUAGAAAAAGGUCUGUGUUA